AGCAGGAUCCGAGAAAGCAGUAGC
rnacentral:siRNA from 1 species